rnacentral:rRNA from 1 species
UACGUAGGCAGCGAGCGUUGUUCGGAUUACUGGGCGUAAAGAGUGUGUAGGUGGUGCUCUAAGUUCGGUGUGAAAUCUCCCGGCUUAACUGGGAGGGUGCGCCGAAAACUGGAGUGCUCGAGCGUGGGAGAGGAAAGCGGAAUUCCUGGUGUAGCGGUGAAAUGCUUAGAUAUGACAUAGAACACCAAUUGCGUAGGCAGCUUACUACACGAUCAUUGACGCUGAGGCACGAAAGCGUGGGGAGCAAACAGG